rnacentral:lncRNA from 1 species
GGGGUGUGGAAAUAUUUGUUGUGAGCACUUGUCCCUGGGCAAGUAAAACUAAAAAUUUAACUUGUCCGGAAAUUUUUUUACUUGCCCUGAUGAUCCCAAUAAAUAUUGAAGUAUUUCUUGUUAGCUAAUAUAUGAUUCUUACUUAGCACUGUUGUGCAUCACACACAAAUGAAAUCCAUUUGUUUAUAUGUGUCCAAAAUUUAGAAAAGUAGGAAAUGGGUUAACAUCAAUGGGACAGAAACCUAACAGCAAACCAACCAAUGAAAUGACAUGUAAAGGACAAUUUUGCAGCAGUUUUGGAAUAACAAUUGUAGCCAGUAGGUACAUAAUAAUUAUAAUUAAUUUGAGGACAGUGAUUGAAGAAAUGUAAACUAAAUAAUAGAUUAACUAUUGAUUUUGUGGUGUUUCUCUCAACUGACACACUUGUUUUUUCUUGAUUAUUUAUUUAUUGUCUUGAUGUGCAAUUAAAGCGUCCCUUCUAUUUGUCAGUUUGACAACACAUAAUGUUGACCUUUCAUCUAUAAAUAAGACAAAAACUUAAUUUAUCAAUCUGAAUCUCGAUACAAAAUUUAAAGAAAUGACACUUCCAGUAAAUGAUUGUUGAAACUUGAUCGACGAUCCCGGGUCAAUGGACAAAGCCAAUGCAAUGUUACGCGACUCUGGUUCCCAUACUUAUUUUUAUUUAUUUUGGUAAUUGAUCGAUUUCCAGUAUCAUGUAAUAUUUAUCGUCAUGAACAUUGAUGUUUUCACUUGCUGAACAUUGGUUUAUUUUACAUGAAUUAAACAUUUUUAUACAUUUUGAAAUUAAUUUU